rnacentral:rRNA from 1 species
GAUGAACGCUGGCGGCGUGCCUAAUACAUGCAAGUCGAGCGAAUGGAUUAAGAGCUUGCUCUUAUGAAGUUAGCGGCGGACGGGUGAGUAACACGUGGGUAACCUGCCCAUAAGACUGGGAUAACUCCGGGAAACCGGGGCUAAUACCGGAUAAUAUUUUGAACUGCAUGGUUCAAAAUUGAAAGGCGGCUUCGGCUGUCACUUAUGGAUGGACCCGCGUGGCAUUAGCUAAUUGGGUAGGUAACGGCUCACCAAGGCAACGAUGCGUAGCCGACCUGAGAGGGUGAUCGGCCACAAUGGGACUGAGACACGGCCCAGACUCCUACGGGAGGCAGCAGUAGGGAAUCUUCCGCAAUGGACGAAAGUCUGACGGAGCAACGCCGCGUGAGUGAUGAAGGCUUUCGGGUCGUAAAACUCUGUUGUUAGGGAAGAACAAGUGCUAGUUGAAUAAGCUGGCACCUUGACGGUACCUAACCAGAAAGCCACGGCUAACUACGUGCCAGCCGCCGCGGUAA